CGUGUAGGCGGCCAGGUAGGUCGGUUGUGAAAACUAGAGGCUUAACCUCUAGACGUCGACCGAAACCAUCUGGCUAGAGUCCGGAAGAGGAGAGUGGAAUUCCUGGUGUAGCGGUGAAAUGCGCAGAUAUCAGGAAGAACACCCGUGGCGAAAGCGGCUCUCUGGGACGGUACUGACGCUGAGACGCGAAAGCGUGGGGAGCGAACA
rnacentral:rRNA from 1 species